CCCAUCAAAUACUAGCUAAACUCUACUCAGAUAAUGCAAAAAAAAUAUAUAAAAUUAAACCCUUUAGGCAAAUGACUCCAGCGGCAAAGUUUUUGUUGAUUCCAUGAUGUGAGGCAGAAACCCUUUGUAGAUUCAUGUAAGUUUUUGAUCUUUAUCAUUGAUUAUUUCAAAUUAAAUCAUCUUUACCGAAGCUUUGAUUUGAAGUGGAGAUUCUUUUUCUGCACAAAAGGAGUACAAGAUAGCUGUCCUCAGAAUUGCAAGAAGUUAAAAAAGAAUACAAAAACUUACGCUACAUAAUAAGUUGCUACUAUAUUUUCCAAAGCAAGUCACUUUUCGAUUCGUUUUAUGACUUUAAGCAGGGAUGUCACCAUCAAUGGCACAUAAAGUAAACAGGGGUGUCACCAUCCAUGGCAAAUAAAAUCCUAUCAUUAAUCUGGAUUAACACAACUUGGCUUUUAUAUAUCAAGAUAUAGUAAUAUAUAUUAUGAACUGAAAGGUGCAGAUUUGUGAGAACCGGAAGAUUAGGACUUUUGUUUUGUAAUUACUAAUUAACAAGCAAGAGAUUAGUCAGUGGUGGCUCCCACUAAACCUAAUCAACAAGGCGACUUGCAGCCUCCGGCAAUUAAUUAUGAUGAUAAUCAUUUUUGCUGUUUUCUGAACAUUCCCCAUUGUUUAUUAGCCAACAUUCUUUCUUCAUCCCUAAACCUGAUUGCUUUUACUUUGUCUAAUGGAUUUUCACAUUGAGAACCCCAGCAAUAAAAGAAAUUGCAAGCUAAAAGAGCAUCAGCCAAGAACUGAGAUGGAUAGUUUACCUCGUGAAAUCGCCCUCGACAUACUUUCAAG
rnacentral:lncRNA from 1 species